rnacentral:misc_RNA from 1 species
AGCUGAGCCGGAGUCAGCCGCGAAGAGCAAUGAAGGAGUCCAGGAUCACGCUAGUACGGAAAUGGCCGGACUUGGAUUGGAGUUGACCCUGGGGCUUGAGCCCUUGUCGCGUGCAAGUCACGUGGUGCCCGUGAAGAAAAGGAAACUCGAGGCUUAUGGCUAUGGGUCGUCUGACGAUGAAUCGUGUAAGAUAGAGCUGGGAUUAGACUGUCCGGCUCGUCACUAAAAAUAAACAAAAAA